rnacentral:tRNA from 1 species
AGGCCUGUAGCUCUAAUUGGUAGAGCAGUGGUCUCCAAAACCAAUGGUUGGGGGUUCGAGUCCCUCCAGGCCUG